GUGCGCCUGCUUGUAAACGACCGCAUCGGACCAGAGGAACUGCGGCUCCUCACGUCCGCUUCAGGACGGGCCAGAAACCCCAGACGUCCCGUCGCCUUCUCGCCUCUUUCGCUGAGAGCUGCAGAUCAGUUCACGUUGACAGAUUAGAGGGAAAAUGUGCAAAUGUUUAUGGAUGCCGCACUUGCCACUUGCACGAGUGAGUGCCCUACCUACACCUGUGUCUCCAACAGAUGCCGCACUUGCCACUCGUAUCUCCGUGAAUGCAAACAGUCAAGAUGCCCACUCCAAAGAAACUUCCCAACGACCAACUAAAAGAUAAGGCAGAGUAAACUGGUGCUUAGUUGGAACAGCAAGAUGAUAUGGGUCAAAAAGGAAGGAAGAAUCAUGAUGAAAAUAAUUAAAGGAGGCUUCAUUGAGGAGGUGGUCCUUAUGCUGGACUCUGAUAGAAAAAACAGCAUCUUGACAGAUGAGAACAGCAGGAAAAGACAUGUCAUCCCAUCUGAGCAAAAGCACAGAAGUGUGGAAAGGUAUGUUGUAUGAGGAAAAGCUAAGGCUGCUGAAGAACUUGAGUUUCAGAUUCUAUAGCCACUGAGAAGCCAGGUGUUAAGCUGUGUUUUAGGAAGACGACGCUGGCAGCAGUGUGGGGGAUGCACGGAGAGGUGCGGUUUGGCUGGUGAGGGGGAACGACGGCCAGUGUGUGGAGAAUAGUAUCCUUCCAUGAACAGCAUCCUUUCAAAAGGAAAGGAGAUGGCUUUCUUUCUCUCCUGAGCUGUGAGAGAAACAGUAACAGCGACUCGCCAGAAAUUAUGGCUUAAGCUGGUACAGUUCAUCGCUAAGCUUGGACUUUCCGUCUGCAAAUGCUUGUCUCGAUGUGCUUGGAUUGGAUACCUGGGAGCUUGUUUGGAGGUUCCAGCAGGGGAGCGCAGCUACUCGUAUACCCUUGACCGAAGAACGGUCCUUCU